rnacentral:rRNA from 1 species
GGGGAAUAUUGCGCAAUGGGCGAAAGCCUGACGCAGCCAACCCGCGUGUGUGAUGAAGGCCUUCGGGUCGUAAAGCACUGUCGUGAGGGAAGAAUAAUGACGGUACCUCACAAGAAAGCACCGGCUAACCCCGUGCCAGCAGCCGCGGUAAUACGGGGGGUGCAAGCGUUGCUCGGAAUUACUGGGCGUAAAGCGUCCGCAGGCGGAGCAGCAGGUCGGUCGUGAAAGCCCGGGGCUCAACCCCGGAACUGCGAUCGAAACCAUUGCUCUUGAGUCCGGGAGAGGGGGGUGGAAUUCCUGGUGUAGAGGUGAAAUUCGUAGAUAUCAGGAGGAACACCGGUGGCGAAAGCGGCCCCCUGGCCCGAAACUGACGCUCAUGGACGAAAGCGUGGGGAGCAAAC